rnacentral:rRNA from 1 species
UACGGAGGAUUCGAGCGUUAUCCGGAUUUAUUGGGUUUAAAGGGUGCGUAGGCGGACUGAUAAGUUAGUGGUGAAAGUUUGCAGCUUAACUGUAAAAUUGCCGUUAAAACUGUUAGUCUUGAGUGUAAUAGAGGUAGGCGGAAUGUGUUGUGUAGCGGUGAAAUGCUUAGAUAUGACACAGAACACCGAUUGCGAAGGCAGCUUACUAUAAUACAACUGACGCUGAGGCACGAAAGCGUGGGGAUCAAAC